CGGCAGGCUUACACAUGCAGUCGAGGGGCAGCGCGGGAGUAGCAAUACUUCUGGCGGCGACCGGCGGAAGGGUGCGUAACGCGUGAGCAACAUUCCCGCAUCUGGGGGAUAAGCACUGGAAACGGUGUCUAAUACCCCAUAACAACGGAUUCCACAUGGAGACCGUUUGAAAGCUGCGACGGAUGCGGAUUGGCUCGCGUGACAUUAGCUAGUCGGCGGGGUAACGGCCCACCGAGGCGACGAUGUCUAGGGGUUCUGAGAGGAAGGUCCCCCACACUGGAACUGAGACACGGUCCAGAACUCCCUACGGGAGGCAGCAGUGAGGAAUAUUGGUCAAUGGGCGGAAGCCUGAACCAGCCAUGCCGCGUGAAGGAAUAAGGCCCUAUGGGUCGUAAACUUCUUUUGUGGUGGAGCAAUAAGGGCUACGCGUAGUCCCGAUGAGAGUACAUCACGAAUAAGCAUCAGCUAACUCCGUGCCAGCAGCCGCGGUAAUACGGAGGAUGCAAGCGUUAUCCGGAUUUAUUGGGUUUAAAGGGUGCGUAGGCUGUGCCGCAAGUCGGGGGUGAAAGCCCGGGGCCCAACCCCGGAACUGCCCUUGAUACUGCGGCGCUGGAGUUCGGAUGCCGUGGGAGGAAUGAGUAGUGUAGCGGUGAAAUGCAUAGAUAUUACUCAGAACACCGAUUGCGAAGGCAUCUCACGAAUCCGACACUGACGCUGAGGCACGAAAGCGUGGGGAUCAAACAGGAUUAGAUACCCUGGUAGUCCACGCAGUAAACGAUGAUGACUAACUGUCGGCGAUAAACAGUCGGUGGCCAAGCGAAAGCGAUAAGUCAUCCACCUGGGGAGUACGUUCGCAAGAAUGAAACUCAAAGGAAUUGACGGGGGCCCGCACAAGCGGAGGAACAUGUGGUUUAAUUCGAUGAUACGCGAGGAACCUUACCCGGGCUCGAACGGCUAGUGAACGACCCAGAGAUGGGAAGGCCCUUCGGGC
rnacentral:rRNA from 1 species